GGUAGUAUGCCGGAGUGGUUAACGGGUAGAAUUUGAAAUUCUAUGGGUUCGCCCUCGCAGGUUCGAAUCCUGCUACUAUCG
rnacentral:tRNA from 1 species